rnacentral:rRNA from 1 species
GGAUGCGAUCAUACCAGCACUAAAGCACCGGAUCCAAUCAGAACUCCGAAGUUAAGCAUGCUUGGGCGAGAGUAGUACUAGGAUGGGUGACCUCCUCGUGCUGCAUUCC